rnacentral:rRNA from 1 species
UACGGGGGGAGCAAGCGUUGUUCGGAUUUACUGGGCGUAAAGGGCGCGUAGGCGGCCAGCGCAAGUCGGUUGUGAAAUCUCAGGGCUUAACCCUGAGCGGUCAACCGAUACUGCGCGGCUAGAGUGCGGAAGGGGCAACUGGAAUUCUUGGUGUAGCGGUGAAAUGCGUAGAUAUCAAGAGGAACACCUGCGGCGAAGGCGGGUUGCUGGGCCGACACUGACGCUGAGGCGCGAAAGCUAGGGGAGCGAACGGG